CACACCAUAUUUUUAGGAGGAAAUUCAGAAGGACAGAGACAUCAAAGAUUAUUCAAAUAAUUGAAUAACUGUCGUAGAUAACAUUCAGAAGAGAUGUAUUUUUAUCACACAAAUCCUAAUAAUAGUUGUCAACAAGUCGGAUAAUAUGCCUGACUUGCGACGAAACAACAAGCAAACAGCUUCUUAACCAACCAACACGGCGAAAUGUCAGACAAUCCUUCCAAUCGCACUCCCAAAUCCAAACCCAAAGUAACAAACAGGCGGGCAGCUCAUUUGCACAAGUCGGUCGCAGGUGGGCGCAGGGCGACUCCUCCGAGCUUCUCGCUCGAGUACUUCUUGUAGACGACCUUCAGCUUGCUGUCAGGCGCGGUGGAGUGCGAGGCCACC
rnacentral:lncRNA from 1 species